rnacentral:rRNA from 1 species
AGAGUUUGAUCCUGGCUCAGGAUGAACGCUGGCGGCGUGCCUAACACAUGCAAGUCGAGCGAUUCUCUUCGGAGAAGAGCGGCGGACGGGUGAGUAACGCGUGGGUAACCUGCCCUGUACACACGGAUAACAUACCGAAAGGUAUGCUAAUACGAGAUAAUAUGCUUUUAUCGCAUGGUAGAAGUAUCAAAGCUUUUGCGGUACAGGAUGGACCCGCGUCUGAUUAGCUAGUUGGUAAGGUAACGGCUUACCAAGGCGACGAUCAGUAGCCGACCUGAGAGGGUGAUCGGCCACAUUGGAACUGAGACACGGUCCAAACUCCUACGGGAGGCAGCAGUGGGGAAUAUUGCACAAUGGGCGAAAGCCUGAUGCAGCAACGCCGCGUGAGCGAUGAAGGCCUUCGGGUCGUAAAGCUCUGUCCUCAAGGAAGAUAAUGACGGUACUUGAGGAGGAAGCCCCGGCUAACUACGUGCCAGCAGCCGCGGUAAUACGUAGGGGGCUAGCGUUAUCCGGAAUUACUGGGCGUAAAGGGUGCGUAGGUGGUUUCUUAAGUCAGAGGUGAAAGGCUACGGCUCAACCGUAGUAAGCCUUUGAAACUGGGAAACUUGAGUGCAGGAGAGGAGAGUGGAAUUCCUAGUGUAGCGGUGAAAUGCGUAGAUAUUAGGAGGAACACCAGUUGCGAAGGCGGCUCUCUGGACUGUAACUGACACUGAGGCACGAAAGCGUGGGGAGCAAACAGGAUUAGAUACCCUGGUAGUCCACGCCGUAAACGAUGAGUACUAGCUGUCGGAGGUUACCCCCUUCGGUGGCGCAG